GCCCGGCUAGCUCAAUGGUAGAGCGCUGAACUUCUAUUAUGACUCAAUUAACACGUCUUGUGAAUUCAGAGGCUGGGGGUUCGAGUCCCCCGUUGGGCU